GCUACUCAAACCCCUUCCUUGAAGAGCUGGACAUGUCUUGUGUUUGUGUGCAUCUGUGAUGGAGGCAUUCACAAAAGCUUUGUGACUUUGGAUCAGGCCCUCUAUGGCUGGCAGAGCCUUCAGGAAACUUACUGGCAACAGUUGCACCAAGGACAUGUGUAAUCACCCAUGAACGUGGCAUGUCCAAAACUCAGCAUCCAGGGACAGGCCUAGAUCACAUGGCAGAACCUCAUCAGUCAGAGAAAACCUGGGAAAAUGGAAGGAGGCAAAGGGCAAUAUGGCCUGUUUCUAGCAAUCUGUUUGAAAACA